rnacentral:rRNA from 1 species
GAACGCGAAGAACCUUACCAAAUCUUGACAUCCUCUGACCCCUUUAGAGAUAGAGUUUUCCCCUUCGGGGGACAGAGUGACAGGUGGUGCAUGGUUGUCGUCAGUUCGUGUCGUAAGAUGUUGGGUUAAGUCCCGCAACGAGCGCAACCCUUAAGUUUAGUUGCCAUCAUUAAGUUGGGCACUUUAAGUUGACUGCCGGUGACAAACCGGAGGAAGGUGGGGAUGACGUCAAAUCAUCAUGCCCCUUAUGAUUUGGGCUACACACGUGCUACAAUGGACAAUACAAAGGGUAGCGAAACCGCGAGGUCAAGCAAAUCCCAUAAAGUUGUUUUCAGUUCGGAUUGUAGUCUGCAACUCGACUACAGAAGGGGAAUCGUUAGUA